GAGGAGUCACUAGUCGGACACAGAGGAAGCAGCACGAGCUGUAUGGAGAGACAAGUGAAGGACCCAAGCCCAUGGAAUGAUGCUGUCACCAUUUACAGCGCGUCUCCACCUCUCAUGCACGAGAACUAAAAUAUUGGAUCCUCAAAUUUACUUGGAUCUUGCUAAUGGAUUAGCUGUGGACAUUCACAUUCCAUCAACAUUUCAGAAAACAUUUCCUGAAAA